UACGGAGGGAGCUAGCGUUGUUCGGAAUUACUGGGCGUAAAGCGCACGUAGGCGGCUUUGUAGGUUAGAGGUGAAAGCCCGGGGCUCAACUCCGGAACUGCCUUUAAGACUGCAUCGCUUGAAUCCGGGAGAGGUGAGUGGAAUUCCGAGUGUAGAGGUGAAAUUCGUAGAUAUUCGGAAGAACACCAGUGGCGAAGGCGGCUCACUGGACCGGUAUUGACGCUGAGGUGCGAAAGCGUGGGGAGCAAACAGG
rnacentral:rRNA from 1 species